rnacentral:rRNA from 1 species
UACGUAGGGUGCAAGCGUUGUCCGGAAUUAUUGGGCGUAAAGAGCUCGUAGGCGGUUUGUCACGUCGGAUGUGAAAACCCGGGGCUUAACCCCGGGCCUGCAUUCGAUACGGGCUGACUAGAGUUCGGCAGGGGAGACUGGAAUUCCUGGUGUAGCGGUGAAAUGCGCAGAUAUCAGGAGGAACACCGGUGGCGAAGGCAGCUCGCUAGGACGGUACUGACGCUGAGGCGCGAAAGCGUGGGGAGCAAACAGG